UUCCAGACUCCUACGGGAGGCAGCAGUGGGGAAUAUUGCACAAUGGGGGGAACCCUGAUGCAGCGACGCCGCGUGGGCGAGGAAGUAUUUCGGUAUGUAAAGCCCUAUCGGCAGGGAAGAAGAAAUGACGGUACCUGAUUAAGAAGCCCCGGCUAACUACGUGCCAGCAGCCGCGGUAAUACGUAGGGGGCAAGCGUUAUCCGGAUUUACUGGGUGUAAAGGGAGCGUAGACGGCAGCGCAAGUCUGAAGUGAAAUGCCGGGGCUUAACCCCGGAACUGCUCUUGGAACUGCGUGGCUGGAGUGCAGGAGGGGCAGGCGGAAUUCCUGGUGUAGCGGUGAAAUGCGUAGAUAUCAGGAGGAACACCGGUGGCGAAGGCGGCCUGCUGGACUGCAACUGACGUUGGGGCCCGAAAGCGUGGGGAGCAAACAGGAUUAGAUACCCUAGUACG
rnacentral:rRNA from 1 species